rnacentral:sRNA from 1 species
GACCUAAACCACUGACUUCGGUCGCUGGCAUGGUCGAAAAUCGCGAUGAACAUAAAAACCCCGUCAUUAGGGCGUUCAUCGCGUUGCGUCGGGAAACUGACGUAGAGGUCUUCGGACCUU